rnacentral:rRNA from 1 species
AAUAAACUAAAUAAAAUUACAUUUAAAUCCACCUUCAAUAAAAUUUUUCAAUUUCAUAUUCAUUUAAAUAAAUUUAUUGUAAUCCAUUAUAUUCUUAAUUAUAAUCUACAUCUUGAUCUGAAUUAAUUUUUAUUUUAAUUUUUAAAUAUUAUAAAUUAAUUAAAAAUAUUUUUUUAACAACGAUAUAUAAAAUUUUAUAAAUUAAGUAAAUUUAUUCGUGGAUUAUCAAUUAUUAAACAGAUUCCUCUAAAUGAACUAAAAUACCGCCAUAUUAUUUAAGUUUCAAUAAAUAAUUAUCUACUAUUUUAGUAUUAUAAUUUAAAUUUUUAAUAAUAGGGUAUCUAAU